AUUUGACAUUUUGCCUUAAAACUCAAACGGAAAUGUCAGCAGUAACUCAUUUUGUAGGUAAAUAGUCACACAGACACACACAAAUCAAAUUCAAGGCCCGGGCUCGAGAUCUCUGACGGGUUCAAGCACGAAUCGAAGAUGUGCAGCCCCUGCUGUGGAUCCUGCUGCGGACCUUGCUGCUCCCCCUGCUGCAGCCCCUGCUGCACCCCUUGCUGCAAUGACUGCUGCGGGUCCUGCUGCAGUCCGUGCUGCGGACCCUGUUGCAGCCCCUGCUGCGGACCCUGCUGCAGCCCCUGCUGCAGUCCCUGCUGCAGUCCUUGCUGCAGCCCCUGCUGCACGCCGUGCUGUAAGUGUUGCACACCCUGCUGCGUGCCGUGUUGCACACCCUGCUGCACCCCCUGCUGCACACCCUGUUGCACCCCUUGCUGCACUCCGUGCUGCAGUCCGUGCUGCAGCCCCUGCUGCUCCCCUUGCGGCGGGUCAAAGUGCAAGUGAUCCACGGAAGCGAUUUCGGAUUCGGAUUCGGAGGCGGAGGCGGGAGCCAGUCGCAAAUGCCACCACAAGUUCGUCGGAACCCUUGCUAUUACCAGCUAAGGCAAUCAUACACACGAAAAGUCAACGGCAGAGCAAAGUUUUAAGGCCCCCAAGGAGUGGGGAUAUAAGAACGUGGAGGAUGUGGAAGCAUCUGCUCCCGGGGCCAUGUUAAUGAAGACACAGAUUAGACAGCGGGCCCAGGUAAAAGUUGGUCAUCCUCAACUUAUGCCAGUUAGGGCUGUGUAAAGUUUUUGGCCUCUUCCGAAAAUUAAUUAAAAUCAGUUUCAACCUAUGUGACACGAGCACACUUACAAAAGAAAUUACAUUACAUGCCAAGCUGAGUCAACUA